rnacentral:rRNA from 1 species
UACGUAGGGUGCGAGCGUUUGUCCGGAAUUAUUGGGCGUAAAAAGCUCGUAGGCGGUUUGUCGCGUCGGCCGUGAAAUCUCCACGCUUAACGUGGAGCGUGCGGUCGAUACGGGCAGACUUGAGUUCGGUAGGGGAGACUGGAAUUCCUGGUGUAGCGGUGAAAUGCGCAGAUAUCAGGAGGAACACCGGUGGCGAAGGCGGGUCUCUGGGACGGUACCGACGCUGAGACGCGAAAGCGUGGGGAGCGAACAGG